rnacentral:lncRNA from 1 species
GGAUGGGUGCGGCCGCCGUUUUCGAGCGUGGAGAUGCGGUGGAUGAGCUGACGAAUGCCCGAGGGGGGCCCUCGCUUAACUGGCUCUCCAAAGACACCGUGUAACUAUUUCUCAUGCAAAUUGUGUAGCUGCCACCAUUGUUCUCAAUUAUCAAAGCGUGCUGGGGUUAGGGAAUAAUUUGAUCCUGUAUUUGUAAUUCUUCUUGGGAUAUGACACCGUGUAACUAUUUCUCAUGCAAAUUGUGUAGCUACCACCAUUGUUCUCAAUUAUCAAAGCGUGCUGGGGCUAGGGAAUAAUUUGAUCCUGUAUUUGUAAUUCUUCUUGGGAUAUGAAAAAUCUUAUCAACGUUUGAGCUUAUUUGUUUCACCGUUUUGUGUCUCUGUUCCUAAAACCGAUAAAUAAAUUCUGAUAGACUCUAGUCUUAACG